UACGUAGGCAGCAAGCGUUGUUCGGAGUUACUGGGCGUAAAGGGUGUGUAGGCGGUUGGAUAAGUGUGGUGUGAAAUCUCCCGGCUCAACUGGGAGGGUGCGCUACAAACUGUCUGACUAGAGUGCGGGAUGGGAAAGUGGAAUUCCUGGUGUAGCGGUGAAAUGCGUAGAUAUCAGGAGGAACACCGGUGGUGUAGACGGCUUUCUGGACCGUAACUGACGCUGAGACACGAAAGCUAGGGGAGCAAACAGG
rnacentral:rRNA from 1 species